rnacentral:rRNA from 1 species
GAUUAAGCUACUAAGAGCACAUGGUGGAUGCCUUGGCGCCAGAAAGCGAUGAAGGACGUGAUAAGCUGCGUUAAGCCUCGGAGAGCUGCAAAUAAGCUUUGACCCGGGGAUUUCCGAAUGGGGCAACCCACUGCGGGUAAACCUGCAGUAUCCUGGACUGAAUACAUAGGUCCAUGGAGGCGAACGGGGGGAACUGAAACAUCUAAGUACCCCCAGGAAGAGAAAGUAACAACGAUUUCCUGAGUAGCGGCGAGCGAACGGGAAACAGCCUAAACCGCCAGCAUGUUAAAGCUGCCGAGCGUUGUGCGGGCGGGGUCGCGGGACCCACACGGGAGGAUCGGCGAUCUCCCAAGGAGUUACAAAAUUCAUGGCUAGUUGAACGACCUGGAAUGGUCGGCCAUAGAGGGUGAAAGCCCCGUAAGCGAAAGCGAUGAAUCUCCUGUGGUGUUCCCAAGUACGGCGGGACACGAGAAAUCCUGCUGGAAUCUGGGAGGACCAUCUCCUAAGGCUAAAUACUCUCUGGCGACCGAUAGUGAACCAGUACCGUGAGGGAAAGGUGAAAAGCACCCCGGAAGGGGAGUGAAACAGUACCUGAAACCGUGUGCCUACAAUCAGUCGGAGGCUGCUUCGGCGGCUGACGGCGUACCUUUUGUAUAAUGAGCCUGUGAGUUAUCAUACGCGGCGUAGGUUAAGUGCCUCUGGCACGGAGCCGUAGCGAAAGCGAGUCUGAAAUGGGCGUCAAGUUGCGCGCGGCAGACCCGAAGCCGGGUGAUCUAGCCAUGACCAGGAGGAAGCGCAUGUAACAGUGCGUGGAAGUCCGAACCGCAGUGGGUUGAAAACCGCUCGGAUGAGUUGUGGCUAGGGGUGAAAGGCCAAUCAAACCCGGAGAUAGCUGGUUCUCCCCGAAAUAGGUUUUGGCCUAGCCUCGUGUAUGUUUACCGGAGGUAGAGCACUGAAUGGGUUAGGGGCCCUACAAGGUUUACCGACCCCAAUCAAACUCCGAAUGCCGGAUAAAUUUAGCACGGGAGUCAGUCGACGAGAGAUAAGUUUCGUCGGCGAAAGGGAAACAGCCCAGACCAACAGCUAAGGUCCCCAAAUCUGGACUAAGUGGUUGAAGGAUGUUGGAUUGCCCAGACAGCUAGGAGGUUGGCUUAGAAGCAGCCAUCCUUUAAAGAAAGCGUAAUAGCUCACUAGUUAAGUGGUCCAGCGCCGAAAAUGAUCGGGACUAAGUCCGGUACCGAAGCUAUGGGCUCGCGCUUGCGCGAGCGGUAGGGGAGCAUUCCGUAGGUGGUUGAAGCGGCCUCGCGAGGGACCGUGGACACAUCGGAAGGGCAUAUGCAGGCAUGAGUAGCGAUAAAGCAGGCGAGAAACCUGCUCACCGAAAACCUAAGGUUUCCUGAGGAAGGCUAAUCCGCUCAGGGUCAGUCGGUCCCUAAGUUGAGGCCGAAAGGCGUAGACGAUGGGAAUCCGGUUAAUAUUCCGGAACCUGGUUGAUUUCGUUUGUACGAUGGGGUGACGCAGUAGUGAAAGGACGGCCAGCGGAUGGAAGUGCAGGUCCAAACCCGUAGAGGUGGAGCUUAGGUAAAUCCGGGCUCCUUAUACCUCGAGAGGUGAUGGGGAAACGAGCCUUCGGGCGAGCCAACCGUCCCUAAGCCGACUGCCAAGAAAAACCUCUAAGGAGAGAUCAGCCAGACCGUACCGUAAACCGACGCAGGUAGGUGAGGAGAGAAUCCUAAGGUGCUCGAGAGAACCCUUGUAAAGGAACUAGGCAAAAUUGCCCCGUAACUUCGGGAGAAGGGGCGCCAUGAGUAGGUGAAGCCGUUCGCCGGUGGAGCCGAAAGUGGCCGCAGUGAAAAGGCCUGAGCGACUGUUUACUAAAAACACAGGUCUCUGCAAAGUCGUAAGACGACGUAUAGGGACUGACACCUGCCCGGUGCCGAUCUGUUAAGAGGAGGGGUUAGCCGCAAGGCGAAGCUCUGAAUCGAAGCCUCGGUAAACGGCGGCCGUAACUAUAACGGUCCUAAGGUAGCGAAAUUCCUUGUCGGGUAAGUUCCGACCUGCACGAAUGGUGUAACGACUCGGGCGCUGUCUCUACAAGGGACUCGGCGAAAUUGAAUUGGCGGUGAAAAUGCCGCCUACCCGCAGUUAGAAGGAAAGACCCCGUGCACCUUUACUACAACUUCGCAUUGGCAUUAGGCAGUUUUUGUGUAGGAUAGGUGGGAGGCUGUGAGGCCGGCACGCCAGUGUCGGUGGAGCCAACCUUGAAAUACCACCCUGGAACUGUUUGGUGUCUAACCCGAUUCCGUUAUCCGGGUCGGGGACAGUGCGUGGUGGGUAGUUUGACUGGGGCGGUCGCCUCCCAAAGAGUAACGGAGGCGCGCAAUGGUUCCCUCAGAGCGUAUGGAAAUCGCUCGUCGAGUGCAAUGGCAGAAGGGAGCUUUACUGCGAGACCUACAAGUCGAGCAGUUGCGAAAGCAGGUCAUAGUGAUCCGGUGGUCCCGUAUGGAAGGGCCAUCGCUCAACGGAUAAAAGGUACGCCGGGGAUAACAGGCUGAUCUCCCCCAAGAGUCCACAUCGACGGGGAGGUUUGGCACCUCGAUGUCGGCUCAUCGCAUCCUGGGGCUGGAGAAGGUCCCAAGGGUUUGGCUGUUCGCCAAUUAAAGCGGUACGCGAGCUGGGUUUAGAACGUCGUGAGACAGUUCGGUCCCUAUCUGCUGUGGGCGUAGGAGAUUUGAGGGAAGCUGUCCUUAGUACGAGAGGACCGGGAUGGACGUGCCUCUAGUGCACCAGUUGUCGCGCCAGCGGCAUAGCUGGGUAGCUAUGCACGGACGGGAUAAACGCUGAAAGCAUAUAAGCGUGAAGCCCCUCCCAAGAUAAGAUCUCCCGGGCGAAAGCCCCUGAAGGCUCCAGGUAGACCACCUGGUUGAUAGGCUGCAGGUGUACGUGCAGUGAUGCAUUCAGCCGAGCAGUACUAAUAAGCCGUGAGGCUUAAUCAU